rnacentral:rRNA from 1 species
GGUGGUUGCGGAUGAGCAUGCGGAUGAUUAGCUAGUUGGUAGUGUAACGGACUACCAAGGCGAUGAUCAAUAGGGGAACUGAGAGGUUGAUCCCCCACACUGGCACUGAGAUACGGGCCAGACUCCUACGGGAGGCAGCAGUAGGGAAUGUUGGACAAUGGGUGGAAGCCUGAUCCAGCCAUACCGCGUGCAGGAAGAAGGCCUUCUGGGUUGUAAACUGCUUUUGCCUGUGGAUAAAAGACCCGUGCGCGGGGAAUUGAAGGUAGCAGGUGAAUAAGCCACGGCUAACUACGUGCCAGCAGCCGCGGUGAUACGUAGGUGGCAAGCGUUGUCCGGAUUUAUUGGGUUUAAAGGGUGCGUAGGCGGUUGAUUAAGUCAGUGGUGAAAUACGUCAGCUUAACUGGCGAGGUGCCAUUGAUACUGUUGAACUUGAGUACUGAUGAGGUAUGCGGAAUGGACGGUGUAGCGGUGAAAUGCUUAGAUAUCGUCCAGAACACCGAUAGCGAAGGCAGCAUACUAAGGAGUAACUGACGCUGAGGCACGAAAGUGUGGGGAUCAAACAGGAUUAGAU